rnacentral:rRNA from 1 species
GUAUGGUGCAAGCGUUAUCCGGAUUUACUGGGUGUAAAGGGAGCGCAGGCGGUGCGGCAAGUCUGAUGUGAAAGUUUGCGGCUCAACCGUAAAAUUGCAGUUGAUACUGGGUGUCUUGAGUACAGUAGAGGCAGGCGGAAUUCGUGGUGUAGCGGUGAAAUGCUUAGAUAUCACGAAGAACUCCGAUUGCGAAGGCAGCUUGCUGGACUGUAACUGACGCUGAUGCUCGAAAGUGUGGGUAUCAAACAGGAUUAGAUACCCUGGUAGUCCACACAGUAAACGAUGAAUACUCGCUGUUUGCGAUAUACAGUAAGCGGCCAAGCGAAAGCGUUAAGUAUUCCACCUGGGGAGU